ensembl:lncRNA
CUCAGAGCCACUUGGCAAAGCGCUGCUGUGCCGGCAAAGGGAUGGAAAUCACACAGAACAGCUGUGACUAAUACCAUCUUGUAAGUGCUAUAUAGCCCUGAAAGAAAAACCUUGGAGUGCUUCAGAACAAUCCGGAGAAAUAGAAGAGGAGGUGGAGGAAGAGGAGGAGGAGGAGGAGGAGGAGGAAAUUCCCCUCAAAAAUCUAAAUGGCUGAGUGUUCCUUAACAGGACAACAGAACAAUGUGGACGGAAGCAGCGAAACUCUGGGACGCAUGACAAGCGUCUUCAUCGGCACAUUAAUUGCUCAAAUUGAAGCGGCGCCACAUCUCUCUGAACUAGACGGAGUCGGUUACAGGAGCAUCAAAACACAAGGCGGGGUACACCCUGGACAGGGUGCCAGUCCAUCGCAGGGCACAAUCACAUACACACUCACCAUUCAUACACUACAGACACACCAAUCAGCCUACCAUGCAUAUCUUUGGACCGGAGUACCCGGAGGAAACCCCUGCAGCAUGGGGAGAACAGGCAAACUCCGCAGACACGGCCCCGGCAGGAAUCGAACCCCGGCCCCUGGAG